AGAAAAUGAUUCCAAUUCAGGCAAUGGUGCGCCAAGGUACGGAUUUCCUGAACUCAGUGAGAGGGAGACAAGUUUUUCAAGUUUAAAAAUAGCUGCAAAUAGACUGGCAUGAUCCUCACACGCAUUCCGAACAUCAAGGUUUCGUAAAUUGGUUAAAGUACUCAAUUCACUAGCAAAGUCAGCAUCAACAUGGACACCAGCGCAUGUA
rnacentral:misc_RNA from 1 species